rnacentral:lncRNA from 13 species
UUUGAGAGGAAAGACCAUAUGAAAUAUAGGAAGAAAAAUGACAGAUAUUGGUGUUAAUUAAAAUCAGUACCAUCAUCUAACUUCCAAGGGAGCUUUCCUGAACUGAUAAGUGACUCCCACAAUUUCAUUUUUAAUAAAUCUACAUUGUGUGAUUAUCACAUACAAUGCAACCUCAGCCAAGCUAUCUUUAGUAGUGUGCAAAUAGCAGCAUUUUUUCUUCUUUCCUAAUAGAAUUAAUGACAUGGCCAGAAAAGCUCAACAUCAUUGUCUGUAUUUUGACUUGAUAUUUUUUGUUUUAGUGGCUUUUAUCCUUUGAUUGUUGGUCACACAAUUUAUUUUUAUUGAUUUUCUUAAAAUUCUAAAGCAUCACUGUUUUAUUCUCACUUCAAUAUGCAGAUUCUCUUUAACACCUUUUCUUCCUCUGAAAUGAGCCACUUUCUUCAUUUUCUUUAAUGCUUUACCCAAUUUGCCAGAUACAGUCAAAGGGUAGACUCUGAUGACUUCCUUUCUGAGGAGAGGCAAAGACAGUGAAAUGGAGUAGAAGGCCAAUCCAAAACAGGAUAAGAAGUUACAGAGACCUUGAUUCCCUUGGUGGUGAGACUUCUGCAGAACACCCCAACAUUUCCAGAUUAUCAGGAGUGAUUCUGUAAACUGAAGGUUCGAGCAAAACUGAACAAGUACCUGAGUGCCAAGAACAGGAAAAAAAGAGCCAACAACUUGGAUUUCCAGCCAAAUGUGGGAGAAAACCAGAGUUAAUGCUGCCAAUGUCAAGCUGGUUUUGGGGCGCCAGAUGUGUUCUCUUCCAAUAAAGUUUAGGAUGUUGCCAUAUAAAGCUGCUCUUUCUACACUGCCUGAUAUUUCAUCAUUAUCCUCCUCACUUCAAAAUCCGGGAAAGGUAAGCAACAAUAAUAAUAUUUAUAUUCAUUUGUCAUUAUGUAACAACUAUGUGGUAAGUGCUUGAAAUGUCCUAUCAAGGCAAUAAGUCAUAUGGAGUCCCCAAAAUAAUCAGCAGGCAAAGAACAUCCUAAGGCCUGAAAAAGCCCCAGUUUUCUGACCACAAAACUACGUACACCAUGGGAAUUUCCACCACACUCUAGGCAGAGCUGUAUGAUAUAGUAUUGGGUUUUUAAAGAGUCUUAGGAGAAUCUCUAAAGGUAAGGAUGAUAUUGGAAUCAUGGAUGAAAAAUAUUGAAACUUAAAACUUACUUUCAACGUAAGAAAAAUUAGCCCAGGGAACACAUUACAACCAAGGGGGCCUGAGUUCAGACAGUAAGUAAUGGUAACAUUCAAGUCUUGCUAUGUCGAUUUAACUUUAUAUAGUACUAUUAACAUUGUGCGGUUUCAAAGAAAACUCUCUUACUGGAAUGUUGUUGAAAUGAUGGAGAGUUAAACAUUCAUGGAAAUUACUGCAUGCGGAUUCUGUAAGGGCUUCUUCCUUUAUGUAGAUAUUUAAAGGACCUAAAGCUUGUCCCCUUUUUAGUAUCAGUUUCUCCAGUUCUUCCUGGCACUACAGACUCUGAUAAAAUACAUGGGAACUUGAUUGUUCUAUGUCUCUGGUGAUAUCAGUGUGUUAAAGGAAGUAGCCUACUGUGAGCAAUGCAAGCCAGGUGCAAAAGCCCAAAUUAGCUGUUGAGUCCAUUUGUUGCAGAAUUUUGAGCUUCUUUAAAUGACAGUUUAGUCUAUGACAUUGAUUUCAUAUAUUGCAAAAUUUAAAGGUAGAGAAUAUAAAUGACUACUUCAGGGGGAAGAGGAAAUGUUAAUUUUUGCCUGACUAUUAUGUAUUAAAUACUAAACUGACCAUUCUGAACACUUGUUUAACAUCAACCUUAAUUUAGAAAGUAGUAGUAUUUUCUUCAUGUUAAGGGUACAAAAGGAAGAAUUUGUCCAAGGUCACAUGGCUUACAAAUGGCAGGGCUGUGUCUGGGAGUUCAGAUCUAUUUUAUUUAGUAGUUAUUUUCUUACUAGCAUACAAAACUCUUGACAAAUUGAACAUUCCUUUAAAAUGGGUCUACCAAGUACUUCAGGAAAUCUCCUAACAUUUUAUUCAAAGGGCGCUGCUUCUAAGAAUAAAGAAAGCUACAAAGCCUUCCA